rnacentral:rRNA from 1 species
GUUAGUUGGUGAGGUAAAGGCCCACCAAGACGAUGAUACGUAGCCGACCUGAGAGCCGGUAAUCGGCCACAUUGGGACUGAGACACGGCCCAAACUCCUACGGGCCAGGCAGCAGUAGGGAAUCUUCCACAAUGGACGAAAGUCUGAUGGAGCAAUGCCGCGUGAGUGAAGAAGGGUUUCGGCUCGUAAAACUCUGUUGUUAAAGAAGAACAGGCCUUUGAGAGUAACUGUUCAAGGGUUGACGGUAUUUAACCAGAAAGCCACGGCUAACUACGUGCCAGCAGCCGCGGUAAUACGUAGGUGGCAAGCGUUGUCCGGAUUUAUUGGCCGCGUAAAGCGAGCGCAGGCGGUUUUGGUUAAGUC